rnacentral:lncRNA from 1 species
UUCUCGUUGUGAUCGGACGUGCUUUUCUUUCGCUCUUCGAUUGCGUUUUUUGCGGUUUAAAGACUUUUACAGAGAAGUUUGAAGAUUUUUUAGUCAAGUCUUAGUCCGUAUUGAUCCUAGACGUAAGAAUUUAUUUAAUAUUACUUGGAGAAUCGGUUCCAGAAGACAUCUCGGCACAUCGUUCGAUGGUCGACCGUUUGCGCUUCGGAUUCGAAUCUUUUAGAUUUAAAAAGGCGGCUGCGGAUGAAGAUGUUGGUGCGUUGUUGGAGGCGGUUCCGGCGGAGGCAGGCGGUGGCGCCGGAGGGAGAGGGUUCCUCGGACGACGCGGAACGAGUCUGUCGUUCCGUGCCGUUGGAGGAGCGGGGGCUCGACGAGCGACAGGCAGCGGGUGAAGAAGACCUUCGCCAAGUGCGCGUGGCGUGGCAUCCUCCCGGAGUCGGGAUGAUGCGACGCUACACCCUGGGUCCAGUGCGCUUGGCCGAGGUCUUCGGGGGUCAUCCGGCCACAGACCUUGCUGUGGAGGAUGUCGAAAGUGACAGCUCGUCCGAGCUGACACUUUCUGUUUGGUCGUGUUCUGCCCGUUCGUCCGCGACGGCGACGCCACCGCCUUGCCGAAGUCGGGACGGGGAGGAGUCGGAGGAGAGAGCCCCCGAAGUCGAGGGACCGUGCUGUCCGUGGUUUUUUUGCUGCGGACGGCUGCGGUUGCCUUGGCCUAGGCGGUGAUCUUCUUCGACUUCCUCUUCUUCACCCGGAUGCGACUUUCUUACCGGAUUCGACACUUUUCACCCGGACAUGACAUCUUUUAACGGACGUGACCUCUUUUACCCGGACGUGACCCACGGACUUGACACGUUUCUUCACCGGACGCGACAUUCGGCCGACCUUUCUUCCCAAACAGCUGUUAUGAGGAUUGAGCUUCCGGUUAGGGUUCGUUAGGUUAGCCUAGGCUAGGCCGGGUCCUUCGCUCUUCUCAUAACACUGUUCGGGAAGAAAGACUGUCUGAUAAAGGUAAUAAUCUUGACCUUAGGUAAUAAAUGAAUAAACUUCUCGUUUUCUCACUGUCUUUGUGUUUUGUAGGAACACUUGGGAGGGAGAACAAUCUCCCUCCCCAACUUUACCACGAAAAGGACCAAGUGACCAUUUAUCGUACAAGUGAAUAUUUUCCGAUGACAUGCCGAAGAUAUUCUUCGAUCACACACAUACACACACAUACGCACGGACAUAACACCACUGUACACGAAGAUAUACACCGUUUAACCUUUACUCGAAUUCUCGCACUCAUGCACUUAACGUCAAGCGCCUCGUUCUGUGUAAUUCCACACAAUGAAACAACCCGAACACUCGCUUCCCACAAAUCCAACCCCUGGGUCCUCGUCCCGGGAAGUGGAAACGCCAAUUUUAAAGAUGAAAACACUUUAAAUUGGCGGCCGAAGGGGCUCUUGUAAUCACACAUCUUGCAUCGAUUAAAUGCAAUUUCAGACAUUAGCAUCAAUAAUCGGUUGGUGAUGAAUUGGGAAGGAGAAGAAUCCUGUACCAAGUAUUAAACAUUGUUUUUCCCACUGUGUUUUGUUUUUGUGGCUUUUUUUAAAUCGUGGUCUCAAACUUUUUCAGGCAAAUUG